rnacentral:rRNA from 1 species
GACGUAGGGCGCGAGCGUUGUCCGGAUUUAUUGGGCGUAAAGAGCUCGUAGGCGGCUCGUUGCGUCGGCUGUGAAAACCCGCAGCUCAACUGUGGGCUUGCAGCCGAUACGGGCGGGCUGGGAUUCGGUAGGGGAGACUGGAAUUCCUAGUGUAGCGGUGAAAUGCGCAGAUAUCAGGAGGAACACCGGUGGCGAAGGCGGGUCUCUGGGCCGAUAUCGACGCUGAGGAGCGAAAGCGUGGGGAGCGAACAGG